UACGGAGGGUGCAAGCGUUAUCCGGAUUCACUGGGUUUAAAGGGUGCGUAGGUGGGCAAGUAAGUCAGUGGUGAAAUCUCCGGGCUUAACCCGGAAACUGCCAUUGAUACUAUUUGUCUUGAAUACUGUGGAGGUCAGCGGAAUAUGUCAUGUAGCGGUGAAAAUGCUUAGAUAUGACAUAGAACACCAAUUGCGAAGGCAGCUGGCUACACAAAUAUUGACACUGAGGCACGAAAGCGUGGGGAUCAAACAGG
rnacentral:rRNA from 1 species